rnacentral:rRNA from 1 species
GAUGAACGCUGGCGGCGUGCCUAAUACAUGCAAGUCGAGCGAACAGACGAGGAGCUUGCUCCUCUGACGUUAGCGGCGGACGGGUGAGUAACACGUGGAUAACCUACCUAUAAGACUGGGAUAACUUCGGGAAACCGGAGCUAAUACCGGAUAAUAUAUUGAACCGCAUGGUUCAAUAGUGAAAGACGGUUUUGCUGUCACUUAUAGAUGGAUCCGCGCCGCAUUAGCUAGUUGGUAAGGUAACGGCUUACCAAGGCAACGAUGCGUAGCCGACCUGAGAGGGUGAUCGGCCACACUGGAACUGAGACACGGUCCAGACUCCUACGGGAGGCAGCAGUAGGGAAUCUUCCGCAAGGGGCGAAAGCUUGACGGAGCAACGCCGCGUGAGUGAUGAAGGUCUUCGGAUCGUAAAACUCUGUUAUUAGGGAAGAACAAAUGUGUAAGUAACUAUGCACGUCUUGACGGUACCUAAUCAGAAAGCCACGGCUAACUACG